CGCUCGGGGAAUCAGGUGUCUGAAUACAUCUCCACUACCUUCCUAGACAAACAGAAUGAGGUGGAGAUUCCCUCUCCUAAUCUCCGGGAGCGAGAAAAACCAAUGUCUCACAUCAGCGGUGUCAAGAAGCUUACACAUAGCUCGAGCCUCACUAGUGCAGCCCUGCCCCGCUUCGGGGUCAAAACCGAGCAGGAGGACUCACUGGCCAGGGAGCUGAAUGACUUAAACAAGUGGGGCCUUAAUAUCUUCCGUGUGGCUGAGUACUCCAAUAACAGACCUCUAAGUUGCAUCAUGUUUGCUAUCU